rnacentral:rRNA from 1 species
ACGGGAGGCAGCAGUGGGGAGUAUUGCACAAUGGGGGAAACCCUGAUGCAGCGACGCCGCGUGAAGGAAGAAGGAUCUCGGUAUGUAAACUUCUAUCAGCAGGGAAGAAAAUGACGGUACCUGACUAAGAAGCCCCGGCUAACUACGUGCCAGCAGCCGCGGUAAUACGUAUGGAGCAAGCGUUAUCCGGAUUUACUGGGUGUAAAGGGUGCGUAGGCGGCAUGGCAAGUCAGAUGUGAAGGACCGGGGCUCAACUCCGGGGCUGCAUUUGAAACUGCCAGGCUGGAGUACAGGAGAGGCAGGCGGAAUUCCUAGUGUAGCGGUGAAAUGCGUAGAUAUUAGGAGGAACACCAGUGGCGAAGGCGGCCUGCUGGACUGUUACUGACGCUGAGGCACGAAAGCGUGGGGAGCAAACAGGAUUAGAUACCCUGGUA